UUCCUAUAUAGAAACUGUCCUUCGGGACUAUGGACAUAAACGCGCUCGUCAUAAGCGGAUCGGACCCGGGGGCGGUACCCGGCGACUCCACCAAACAUCCUUCAUUUGGGGAUCAUGGGGUCGAAACAGGAUCGACGAACGUCUAAAGGGGUUAGCUUUGUCUCGGCUGUCUGCCACCGUUAUCGGCGAAAACUGUACAAUUGCAAAUGACAAUCGUGCUCCAGUAGCGAUGGCCGCGUAAGCGGUUUCAGCUUCUGAAACUUAACUCCUUGGGUUUAGCGAUCUAAGGCGGGGUUCGCAGGUACCUGGCAACAGAAACCUGCACUUUCCUU
rnacentral:tmRNA from 1 species